UACGGAGGGUGCAAGCGUUGCUCGGAAUUAUUGGGCGUAAAGGGCAGGUAGGUGGUCUCAUUUGUCUGAGGUGAAAGCCUUGGGCUUAACCCAAGAAGUGCCUCGGAAACGGUGAGACUCGAGUGCUGGAGAGGUGAGUGGAAUUCCCGGUGUAGCGGUGAAAUGCGUAGAGAUCGGGAGGAACACCAGUGGCGAAGGCGGCUCACUGGACAGCAACUGACACUCAACUGCGAAAGCGUGGGGAGCAAACAGG
rnacentral:rRNA from 1 species